rnacentral:rRNA from 1 species
GAAGCCGGAAUUGCUAGUAAUGGCAGGUCAGCAUACUGCCGUGAAUACGUUCCCGGGCCUUGUACACACCGCCCGUCACACCAUGAGAGUUGGGAAUACCCGAAGCCUGUGAGCCAACCGUAAGGGGGCAGCAGUCGAAGGUAGAAUCAAUGAUUGGGGUGAAGUCGUAACAAGGUACC